rnacentral:rRNA from 1 species
GACGAACGCUGGCGGCGUGCCUAACACAUGCAAGUCGAGCGAGCGGCGGACGGGUGAGUAAUGUAUGGGGACUGCCCGAUAGAGGGGGAUAACUACUGGAAACGGUGGCUAAUACCGCAUACUAUCGGAUAACCCAUAUGGGAUUAGCUAGUAGGUGGGGUAAAGGCUCACCUAGGCGACGAUCUCUCGCUGGUCUGAGUGGAUGAUCAGCCACACGGUGACUGAGACACGGCCCAGACUCCUACGGAGGCAGCAGUGGGGAAUAUUGCACAAUGGGCGCAAGCCUGAUGCAGCCAUGCCGCGUGUAUGAAGAAGGCCUUAGGUUUGUAUAGUACUUGCAGCGGGGAGGCGUUACCCGCAGAAGAAGCACCGGCUAACUCCGUGCCAGCAGCCGCGGUAAUUC